rnacentral:tRNA from 1 species
GGGAUGGCUCAGGGGUUAAGAGCACUGGCUGUUCCACCAGAGGACCUGGGUUCAAUUCCCAGCACCCA